rnacentral:rRNA from 1 species
AGCUCCAAUAGCGUAUAUUAACUUUGUUGCAGUUAAAAGGCUCGUAGUCGAAUUUAUGGCUUUGUAGUCCUGGCCCAUUGCCAAGUGCAGUGAGUGCCGGUGUCUACUGGUCAUCCUUCUGGAAAGCACUUCUGACCUUUAUUGGUACGGUUGUUGCGAUCCAGAUCAUUUACUGUGAGUAAAUCAAAGUGUUCAAAGCAGGCUUGUGAAGCUUGUAUGCUCUAGCAUGGAAUAAUAAGAUAGGACUUGGGUUCUAUUUUGUUGGCUUUCAGAACCAAAGUAAUGAUCGAUAGGGAUAGUUGGGGGUGCUAGUAUUUAACGGUCAGCGGUGAAAUGCUCAGACCCGUUAAAGACUAACUUAUGCGAAAGCAUUCACCAAGGAUAUCUUCUUUGAUCAAGA